ensembl:lncRNA
AUGUCAGAUAGCUUCUAUUUGUGCCUCUGGAUUCAUUCUCUACUCUUAUCUUCUUGCUGUCUGUUCCAGGAAGCUGAGACCUGUGUGAACUAUAGCAAUCCAUUCCCUUGUUUGAUGAGGUUGGGCCAACUGGGAGCCCUGGCAAGAAAGCAAGUCCUCAACCCCAAGGUGACGUAGUAGAGAUUCCCUACUACUUUGUAGGACACCAGCAACAUGGACACAAACCCUGAAGGUAAACUCCAGCUCUCCUCACACCUCUUAAAGUAGAGGAUCUUGAACCCUACAAGUCGAGGUGGCCCUGGUCUACUAUCUGGGGGAUAUUUUUUUUCCCCAUAGGUAGAGCUGGUAACAUGUUAUGUUAGAGUCACCCAGGGCCCUAUUCUUGCACCUCUUCUCUAUUUUAAGGUACUUCGAUUCCCUUGGCGAUCCCAUAUUUCGUUCUGGCUCUAAAAACCAUCCAUAUGUUGACAGUUCCCUAGUUUAUAGCCUGGGAAAUAAUAGGAGGGUCUAGAAUAAAGAAGUGACCCCAUACAUGCAUGAUUAAUACAUACUUAAAGGAUCAGCCCAGAAUUCUCCCUUGACUGCAAACUUACUCAGCUGUCUAUCUGGGUAUCCAUUAGGCGUCUCAGACAUACUGUGAUCACAGCUGAGCUCCUGAUCUUGCCUCCAAAUACGGACUUUCUGCAGUUUUCUGCAUCUCGAUAAAUGACAACUCCAUCUUUCCAGUGCUUCCUGCCAAAAAUCUUGUAGUCAUUUCUCAUUCCUCUGUUAUUCUCACAUCAGCUGUUCAAACUAUCUAAAUAACAGUCUACCUACUAAAUAUUCUUUGUCUCUACCUUCAAAAUAUAUCCAGAAUUUGAUCCCUUCUCAGUAUCUUCAUAGCAAACACCUGGUCCAGGCCACCUCAUUUCCUACGAGUCCUUGUAAUUGCCUCUGAACUGGUCUCCCUGCUUCUCUUGUCAGCCAACUUUAGUCUGUACUCAAUGCAGUAGUCAAAGUAGUCUUUUCAAUAUGUAAGUCAGAGCUUGUUAGUUAUCCUCUGCUCAAAAACCUCCAAGAGCUUCCCACAUUAAUAGGAAUAAAAGCCCAUGUCCUAUAAUAGCCUGCAAGGUCAUACCUGAUCAGACCCCCUGCAAUGACUCUGUCCUUAUCUUCUAAAACUUUAUCCACCACCCCUCCACUCCAGCCUUGCUGACCUUACUGUUUCUUACUGUUCUUUCACAGAAGCCAAACAUUUCCCUAUUUAGUGCCUUUCCAUUGGCUGUCCCAUCUGCCUGGACUGGUCUUCCUGCAGGUGUAUCGAUCCAUGUAAGUGUGUGUGCAUGCAUGUGUGUGUACAUGCUUACUUAUAUACUUCCUUACCUCAUUCAGGUAUUUCCUCAAAUGUUAUCAUCUUAAUGAUCACCCCAUUUAAAAUUGGAAACCCUUCUCCACAAUUGUUAAUCCUUGUUUUGAUUUUUCUCCAUAGCAUUCAUUACUUCUAACAUAGGUUUUUAAACAUUUUUUAUUCUGUCUCUUCCAAUUAAACAUAAGCUCCAUGACAUUGGGGUGUUUUCAUUCCUGCUGUAUUAUUCCUAGCACUUAGAAUAGUGCCUGUCACAAGAAAUGGAGGGCACUCAUUAAAUAUCCAUUGCAUGCAUAAAACAGGAUAAGAAAGUCUUAAACAUUUGCUUAAUGUGUCUCUUUAUCAAUCCUUAAAGGAUUCAAAAGCACUCAGCCCUUUUUCUCUUCUUUGGACUUCCCUUUAUGGGGUGUGUGUGUGUGUGUGUGUGUGUGUGUGUUCCAGCUAAAACCUAAUAUCUUUGAGUUAUACCAUUAAAAGAGUUGCAGCUAGCUCUUUACAAAUCUUGUAUCUACUGAACUCCAGGAACAUCUUUCAUUCAGUACCCAAGGAUGGACAUAGCCAAUGAUGAUAAUGGGAAGAUUUUUAGGAACUGUGCUCACUCACAUAGAUUUUUGUUAAUGAAAUACAUUUCUGAAGGUCUGUUUUUCAGGGUAAAACUUCAGUCCUCUUUCAACUAACAAUCCCAUACAGAAGGGUCAUUGUUUAUAUUUCUCCAAAACCUGGUCAGAGGUAACUUUGACGAAUCUUAUUAAAUUGAUUGAUAACUCAAAAUAAAUCAUAUCACCAAAACACUUUUCAUUCCAGUGCUUGAUAGUUGUGGAAUUUGCUGAGACCACCCACUUGAAUACCUGUUCAAAUGAAUGGAAUCUCACAGAGCAAACAAAAUCAUCUCUGACUUGUAGCCGUAGGGAUACAUUAGUACCUGUACCUCAUACUCAAUGGAAAAUCACCAGUUGUCUGGUGGAUAGUUUAGCACAUGUCAAAUCUGAGGUCCAGUGUAAUAGAAGAUCUCCUACCCAUCACUACUCCCUCUUUCCUCCUCAAUGUAACUCCUAUCUCCUGUCCUCUAACACAGGAGUUUAGUUGUGUCUCCUUUCCAACUUUAUAUAAAUAAAAUCAUUCUGUAUGAAUCUUGCAUCUGGUUUUUCUUGCUGCAUAUUAUGUUCGUGAAAUUCAUUCAUGUUACUGAAUUAAAAACUGUGGUUCAUUCAGUAUGACUGCUGCAUAGUAUUCCACUGUAUCAAUUUAUCACAAUAUAUUAUUUCUAGUUUUUCAUUUUUAUAAAUCAUGCUGCUCUGGACAUUUUUGGAAAUAUUUUUUGGCUUCCAUGACCCGUUUUCUGUAGAGUACAUACUUUGGAGAGCAAUAUCUGGGUCAUGGGUAUGUACAUGAUCAACUUUAGUAGAUAAUGUAAGCAGUUUCCCUAAAUCAUUGUCCCAGUUUGACUCCCACUAGCAAUAUAAGAGACAUCCCCUACAUACAUAUCCAUGUCACACUUGGGAUUCUCUCUUUUUUCUAUUUUAGUUAUUCUCCUUGUUAAGUAGUAGUAUCUCACUGAGGUUUUAAUUUGCAUCUUUUCUGACUACAAAUAAGAUUGAGAAUAUGCAGAUAUUCUGAGAGAUCCCCCAGCCAAUGAGAGAUUCCAAACGGAAUAGAGAGUGCUGAGAAGACAAAAGCACAUGUAGUCUGAUAAGGGCAUGGUCUGAUAUGGGAGAAAUUUCGGUGGAUAGCGGAGGAAGCAGAUGGUGAGUAUCAGUUGCAGCCCUGGGACUGGUGCGGGGUGUGUAGUUCUUCCUAUUAACUUCCCCUUUUGUAGAUUUCCCUGGGAAGAGAUGCCUCCUGGUACAGUGGAGGAACUGCUCCUUGAAUGUAUAUGAGGAAGUGGAUUCAAGUUGCACUAGGGCUAGAUUGUGGUAGAAACACAGAUGUGCAUCCCGGAAGGAUAAGUUGUCCCAGUUGCCUGUAGUGCUACCGGUAGAUAGCCUCUAAGGCUCAGCUCCUUCAGGGAUUGUUUUAGCUGCAGAGGUGCAACUUAAACACGUGGCCUUAAGGUGGUUCUUAACAGGUGGCCACCCCCAACCCCCUAGAGGUUGGCAUGCAGUAACUGAUGCACAUGUUCACUCUAAGUGAGGCAACGCCCACAGGCACCUUCAGCUCCGGGGCUUCCUGUGCAGUCAGCUAAGGAAGUCAAGUCUGCAUCACAAUCUGACUUCUCCCUCUGCCCAAUCCUUUUCCCUUCUUUUUCACAGCUCUUAGUCUCAAGGGGUGCCCUAGGAACAUACUAAUAACUAAACAUUGUCUCAGGUCUGAGGCAAUGUUGGACAACCAAACCCAUGGCAGUGCUCUGUAAGACUACGGAGAUUUUUGUGGAGUUAAAACUAAUAGAGAGUAUGAAAACCUUGGUGGUUUUUUUUUUUUUUUUUGCAGAUGCAGUAUUCUGAGAAAGGGAUUAACAUGAUUAAAAAUGGUGGCCAAGAAAUAUGAUUCUUGUUGUUGCAUUGGAAGGCCUGGAAUUGUAAGAGGCUAAAAUAUAAAACAGACUGGGAAUUUGUUUCUGGAGUCUAAGAAUAAAAUCCACAGGCUAAAAGAGGGUUGCAGUUGGAAGGAAAAAAUAUAUAAUUGCUAUUUUUCAAAAGGAAUUGGAAAGAUUUGGUGUCAACCUGGAUGUGAGGAUGAAGACAAGCCAGCUAGAAUAAAUAUUGAUUCCAAGAUUGAGGGCAGAGCUUUCUGGGAGGGACACUGAUGGGAACGGAAAAAAUGGAAAAAGACUUAGUGAAGAAGAUAAUAUCCUCAAGUUUUGACAUCUCUAAUUUAAAAUGUCAACAAGCUAUUUACAAGGAAGUUUCUUUGUGUUGGGAGUCACCUUAGCUGUCCAGCCAUAUUAAGGGGCUGCAGUACAGUCAUGGAGGCUAUAACCUGCACUGUGGUACCAUGCCCAGGGUAAAGGGAGGCUGAGCUCUGGCCAGUGUGGGGCUGCACGUGCCAGGUAGAAAGGAUGCCUUUUCUGACUGGCACAAAGGUGUUGUGUGAGCUAGUAGGGGGCCUGGCCAUUAUCUCAAAAUCGGCAAAAGAGGCAGUUGAUUCCGGAUGAAAUGCACAAAUUUGGUUUAUUAGAGAUGGGAAGUUAAUGAAGGAGGAAAGGCUUUACUAAGUUAGAUUUCUUUAGGGUCAGAGACUAUGCAAGUCACGUAGACCUUCUGAAUCUCAUUUUUCUUAUUUGUGUGGCAGGAUACUUUCCUAUUCUCACCCCCUCACAGCUUCCUCAUACCAAGAUAUGAUAACUGAAUAAGAUAUUUGCAAGGCAGAGAAAAGAGGUGGAGAUGCUUAGCCUAAGGAAUGUGCUAGACUUAUGCAAAGAAGGGAUUCUGUGCUUACCUAACAGAUAAUUUACCCUGUAACUGGACUAGGCAGGUCACCAUUUUCUUCAUUCUCUCCUUGUAUAUGCGGGAUCUAAUCAUCUGGACGUAUCCACAGAGAGAGGAGCCAGAUGAAAUGCAGAAAGCAUGGUCGCCUUAAAGAGGAAGAAGUAAGACUGGAGUUUCAAGCUGAGGCAUGAAAGGUACCGAUU